rnacentral:rRNA from 1 species
UACGGAGGGUGCAAGCGUUAUCCGGAUUUACUGGGUUUAAAGGGUGCGUAGGCGGUUUGACAAGUCUGAUGUGAAAUCUAUGGGCUCAACCCAUAGUCUGCAUCGGAAACUGUCGGGCUUGAGUAUGGGAGAGGUGAGUGGAAUUUCCGGUGUAGCGGUGAAAUGCGUAGAUAUCGGAAGGAACACCUGUGGCGAAAGCGGCUCACUGGACCAUUACUGACGCUGAGGCACGAAAGCUAGGGGAGCAAACAGG